rnacentral:rRNA from 1 species
GACGUAGGGCGCGAGCGUUGUCCGGAUUUAUUGGGCGUAAAGAGCUCGUAGGCGGCUUGUCGCGUCUGCCGUGAAAAUUCGAGGCUCAACCUCGAACUUGCGGUGGGUACGGGCAGACUAGAGUGUGGUAGGGGGAGACUGGAAUUCCUGGUGUAGCGGUGAAAUGCGCAGAUAUCAGGAGGAACACCGAUGGCGAAGGCAGGUCUCUGGGCCACUACUGACGCUGAGAAGCGAAAGCAUGGGGAGCGAACAGG